AAUAAUUUUAAAUAAUAGAAUUUAUUUUAAAAUCAAAUUAACAUUUUGUUACACCGAUCUUAUACGACAUUUGUAUUACAACACGACCACCUUACUCGACUAUAAGUACAUCUUAACUAUAAAUUACAGUUUAGUAAUACAUAAUAUUUUAAUAUAACCUCUUACAUACAUACAUAAUAAAGUUUAUUUUGUUCAUUUUUAAACAAAAAAGAAAUUAGAACAAACACUGACAAGUUUUUGUUACAUGAAAACAUAAAAUUGCCAGUAGUUUAUUCUGUUUUUAGUACACAAAAAUUGCAAUUGUUAUUUAUUACGAACUACUUAUGAAUGAAGCAAUUCCCGACAACCUAAAGUAAGAAGAAUGCGAAUAAUGGAAAUGAUUCAUGAUUAUUAAAACUAAAGGGCUAGGCUUCAAUACAUUUAUUCUAUAACAGAAACAAUAACCGUAACUGUAACCAUAACCGGUGUUUUUGUAUGGAGUUUUACAGAUUUUUAUAGUUAAAGCAAGAUGAUGCAACCCAGGCUAAUAGUUCUCAAAACAAAAUAAUUGUUAAAAUAUUUAUUGGGUAGUCGACAACACUAAAUUUUAAUAAUUGAUCCUCGAGUCAAAACGCGAUUCUGCCAUAAAAUAUUCUACUCGUAGAACCUUUGAUGUUAUUUAUUUACCAACUCGAUUAACCUAUUUAUAGUCUCAAGUAACUAUAAUCUAAUUUAUCUAUUAUUUUCAAAUUAAUUCGGUAUUCGAGACUGAAACCAAAUGUUUUAGAGACGAUUUAAUGUUGUCAACUAACCAUUUAUAAAACUGAUUAGUCCAAGGGCCUGUUUCACGACCUCAGAAUAAAGUUCUAAGUUUAACUUCUUGCUGAAUGUGCUAUUCUGGAAGUAACUAGAACUUAGUUAGUUCAUCGCCAGCGUCGCUGCAGGAGGCCUGUAGCGGCGUAGACAAGCUGCUUGCUUGAGGGGAUCUAGGGUGGUUGGAGUAGGAAGAAUAAAACCAUAAGUAGCGCACAAUGGCCCAAUCAAGAGGCUAAUGCCCGUUUUUACAAUCAAUCCCUAAUUUUUAAGUGACCCCUAUGGUAACACUUCACAGAAAAUUUUCAAAGGGGUCACUUAAAAAUUAGAGAUUGAUGGUGAAAACGGGCAUAAGUGCGGUAUUCGAUUGCCCUGCAAAACUAACUAGUUAAACUAGAACUUAUUCAGAGAUCGUGAAUGCCCUUAUAGUCGUAUAAUAUUCUGAAAACUAUGUAACAUCGGGUCACGAGGCCGGUUGCACUUCCCCAAAAGUUUAAUCAUUCGCUAACUCCUAAUCGUUUGUUAGCAAUUGGCAGGCGGCCAGCAAAGUUCAGUCGGUCCAAUUUUGUCGACCGUUGAAUGAUAGCAAGCUGUUCUGGUAUUUCCAAAGCCAAAAUUUAACUUCGGAUUAAAUAUAGAACAGCUGGCCUCUGGUAUCCAUGGAUGAUUUGAUGGGAUUGGGGUCACGGUCGUUGAAUCGAUCUAAAAGUUCGAGGGCCCUUCGCUUCGUUGUUAUACAAAACAAACUUCCAUGAUGUUGGUAAGAAAACCGAACUUUUGCGUUUCCGUGCUUAUAGACAAUUUAGGAUCGAUUUGGAUUUGCGAUUAAUAUUAAUUAAUUACGUACACGAAUUACGUAAAAAAGUAGCGGUUGCCAUUUACAUUACAGGGUAGAUAUCGUACCUACCAUCAUAGGCUGCAUCUCAGAUUGCGGUCAAAUACCUGCCUUGUCAUGCAUAAAUAAAUAAAACUUUAACGAAUGUCAGAUUGAUCUAGAGACACUAAUAAACUUUUGGGUAAACCAAUCGUAAAAACGAUCAACAAAAGCACCAAAGUCAAAGUAAACAUUGUGGCAUCUUAAAAAAUUAUAAUAAGUCCUGUUUUACCACAAAAUCUUAUUUUUGCUGCGAAAUCACCCUUAUUACAAGUACAUACGACUAAAGUGUAUAACUUGAUGUGCCUGUACAUAAAACAAGUCUAAAGCCGACAAUAAAAAGAGACUGAAGAGUUCGGGUCGUUAAUUUUUACUGGUGUUUCUAAACAAUUGAGUCGUAAACUCGUAGAUUAGGUACUAAAAAUUUCAGGAAGAUUUAUUGGAACAAAAAGUUAUCUCAUCAUUAUUUCUCCUUACAUUCUAAAUGACAAUGAAAAUAAAAAUAAAUAAAAUAAUUACUUUGAAGUAAAUAUUUGUUCGAGGUACCGUCUUGAACAUGCUUUUAGUGUUAAAUGUUAAUUUCGGUUUUAGAUGAUAGAUGGCAUUGUUCUUACUUAGAUCGCGAUAUCUAAAUAUUUUUUCCGGCUUAUAAGUACUUGAGUCUGAUUUAUUAAUAAAUUGUCUAUGCUCUGGAA